UGUAUGUAUUUAAGCCUCACACCCUCCUCUUCAUUUCCCCUCAUACCGCACAGAUCGAGAGCCCCAGGCUGCUCGAAUUUUGCCUCGCAUGUUCGCAGUACCGUCGCGGUAAAUCGUCGAUUGCGCAACGACGCCACAUUCGACCAACGAUACAGUCUGCAGGAAGGAUUUUCGGCGAGCAAUUCCCGCGAGGCACUCCGGCGAACCAGUGCACGUCGACAUCCACGAUUUUAUCACCAGCUCUUCUCGACGACACGAUUCAUCUGAUUGUGGUUGUGUUGAUUGCAACGAGUGUUUCUGCGAAGAGUGUACCAACUCAUCCUCUCACCAAGGCAAGUGACACACACCAAAAGUCCCAGUUUUAACUCUUGCACUGUAGUGUUUUUAUAGUAGACAUGUCUAGGGUUUAUGCUUUGCUUGCUAUUAAAUCCUAGUAGUUUAGCUACACCACUCCUAGACUCCCUUAGCCGCCAUUAAAUUUAGUUGUUACCUGCUAUGCCAUGGAAAAUGUUUUGAUAGAGGUUAAGGAAAAACAACUAAGUUUAAUGAAUUACCUGGGUGAAUGGUGGAGUUAUGGAGA